AUUUCUCAAAUCUCCUUCUCGCUUCCCCACGCUCGGCAGUCUGUGCUUUCUGGGUUGAUUGGAUGACUGGGAGUCCGCCAGGCAGAGGACAACAACGUUCAGACCGGCAGAGGGAGCAGCGUGCUCAACAAUGAAGAGGAAGGAAGCUGCAUUCUGGGCUGUAGUUCAGCGGGUGGAAGUGUAGGGCAUGAAGAUCUCCGGGAGGGCAGGUGGUCAGUCAGGAACUACUGGUGGUGUUUCCUGAGUGUAGCAGACAAAGUGAGCGCAAGCAAGAGCGACACAGCGUCUGAUGACUUCUGCAAGCCACCGCAGCCCCAGGGGAUGGGGAUGAGCACUGUAUGCCCCUUCCUGAACGCAGCCCGGCCCAUUUGCCCACAUAAAAGCUUGGAGUCGGAAGAGGACGGUUUUAGAAGCCCGUCAGUAUCCAUGCUGAGCUCUUGUUUGCACCCUGGAAGCCUCUGCUACCCCGGGGCUUUGACCAAGGUCUCUGAGCCGCGAGGGACCAAGAAUGGGGAAAACAGCAGCAAGCUUUUGGAGACACUGGAAGAACGUUUGGAAAAGUGUGACAGUGCGGAUUUAUGUCUCUGCACUGGACGGAUGUGGUGGCAGCACCUGCUCAGGCACGUUGCAGCUGGGGUUUGAAAGCAUGAACCUCGUUCUCCUUUGCGAUCGUUAAAUCUUUUCAGGUCCUUCCUGCAGACCCGCCUUAAGCAACAGUUCACAAGGAAUGCAGACAGGGGCUGCGAUGAAAUGUGAUGAACAGCAAUAAAAAGUACUCAGAUCAGAGUAUUAAUCAUUUAAAACCACAUUGUUCUUAUGGUGUGAAACCAAAAGUGUAAAUAAGGAGCAAAACGUAUAUUAGGUACUGUGAAAUAAGAAGAAAAUGUACAGAUGGGGAUGGCAACAAGGAAGGCGAAGGAGGAAAGGAAAGAAGGGAAAAGUAAAAAAGGUGAGAAGAGAAAGAAAAUAUGGACACAAAGCUUUUGAAAAUGGGAG
rnacentral:lncRNA from 1 species